rnacentral:rRNA from 1 species
GAGCGAACGUUAGCGGCGGGCCUAACACAUGCAAGUCGAACGAGAAUGAGGGGGCAACGUCCUCUAGUAAAGUGGCGGACGGGUGCGUAACACGUGGGUAAUCUACCUUCCAGCGGGGACAACCGUUCGAAAGGAUGGCUAAUACCGUAUACGUCGGCGAGGGCCAUGGCUCUUGUCGGGAAAGAUGGCCUCUUCAUGAAAGCUGUCACUGGAAGAUGAGCUCGCGUCCCAUCGAGCUAGUUGGUGAGGUAACGGCUCACCAAGGCUUAGACGGGUAGCUGGUCUGAGAGGAUGAUCAGCCACACUGGAACUGCGACACGGUCCA